GCACCAGGUAGUCCUCGGGAGUACAGGACAUCCCUCUUCCUACCUACCCCGAGGAACCCAGGAAGCAGGGCCCACGGAGGCACAGGGCUUCUGCAGACGAGCAGAUGGCAGGCCUGAGCUGGGGCGUCAGAGACGUCCAUAGUUGGGGCUUGGUGAUGCUCUGGCAGGCUUCCUCUGCCCAGGCAUCUCCUCCGAGCCAGGCUCUCCCUUCAUGCCACAAACCCUGCCACCCACAUCUCCUGGUAAGUAUGCUCUAGAUAGGGCACAAAAUUCACAGAAGCUAAAUCAGUUGCCAGGGUCACACAGUCUGAGCCAGACUGGAGCCAAACCAAGAAGGGCUCUGCUCACGAGCCUCCCCUGGGAGGAAGCCAUCAUUUCCCUCUUUCUUUCCUCCUCUAGAGACUUGGCCCAGAAUCGGCUCUGUCCCAGGAGGGCCCUGCUGUCAUCUAUCAGUUAACCUCUCUGCUGACUUUAGGGUAGCUUCUUCUCUGUCCCUGCCUUUCUUGUUCUGCCUGACGUGGCUGCUUCAGGGACCGCUUCCUAGCCUUCCUCAGCAGCCCUGACAACGGGCUUGUGAAGACAGGGCAGAGGAGGCUGCAGGGAAAGGGGAGGGGUAUCAGCUGGGAUUGUGGGACACACACACACACACACACUUUUUACCAUGCUGGGAAUGAACCUAGCGCAGCCUCCCAUGUGCUAGGUAAGUGUUCUAUCUCUAUCCACACACUUGCUUCUUGAUCCUUAAAUGCAAUGAAAAUAACCUUGACUCUAUAGCAGCCCAUUCCCAAGGGCAGUUUGAACAUAAUUGGAAGGGAUUUAGAAACACAGCCAUCGUGGAUCCAGAAUAGAAAUCUAGUC
rnacentral:lncRNA from 1 species